GGCGACAAGUCGGAGGAAGGUGGGGAUGACGUCAAAUCGUCAUUGCCCCUUAUGACCUGGGCUACACACGUGCUACAAUGGGCGGUACAAAGGGCUGCGAACCCGCGAGGGGGAGCGAAUCCCAAAAAGCCGCUCUCAGUUCGGAUUGCAGGCUGCAACUCGCCUGCAUGAAGCCGGAAUCGCUAGUAAUCGCGGAUCAGCAUGCCGCGGUGAAUACGUUCCCGGGUCUU
rnacentral:rRNA from 1 species